GCAGCCCGAGCCGCACCCGCCGCGGACGGAGCUCAUGCGCGGGCCCAGCCGGCGCCCGUCCGCGCCCCCGCCCUGCCCCGGCCCCGGCCCCGGCCCCGGGGGCAGUCGCGCCAGCAAGCGGUGGGGCAGGAGCUCCUGGAUUGGCAGCCGCUGUAGAAGCUAUGACAGAAUACAAGCUUGUGGUGGUGGGCGCUGGAGGCGUGGGAAAGAGUGCCCUGACCAUCCAGCUGAUCCAGAACCACUUUGUGGACGAGUAUGAUCCCACUAUAGAGGACUCCUACCGGAAACAGGUGGUCAUUGAUGGGGAGACAUGUCUACUGGACAUCUUAGACACAGCAGGUCAAGAAGAGUAUAGUGCCAUGCGGGACCAGUACAUGCGCACAGGGGAGGGCUUCCUCUGUGUAUUUGCCAUCAACAACACCAAGUCCUUCGAGGACAUCCAUCAGUACAGUCAUGCCUGCAGCCUGCUAGCUGGCUCAUAUCCACCCCAUCCCCCUCCAGGGAGCAGAUCAAGCGGGUGAAAGAUUCAGAUGAUGUGCCAAUGGUGCUGGUGGGCAACAAGUGUGACCUGGCUGCUCGCACUGUUGAGUCUCGGCAGGCCCAGGACCUUGCUCGCAGCUAUGGCAUCCCCUACAUUGAAACAUCAGCCAAGACCCGGCAGGGCAGCCGCUCUGGCUCCAGCUCCGGGACCCUCUGGGAUCCCCCCUCCCCCGGGACCCAUGUGACCCAGCGGCCCUCAAGCUGGCGUGGAGGAUGCCUUCUAUACACUAGUCCGUGAGAUUCGGCAGCAUAAAUUGCGGAAACUGAACCCACCCGAUGAGAGUGGUCCUGGCUGCAUGAGCUGCAAAUGUGUGCUGUCCUGACACCAGGUGAGGCAGGGACCAGCGAGACGUCUGGGGCAGUGACCUCAGCUAGCCAGAUGAACUUCAUAUCCACUCUGAUGUCCUUGCUCCCCCAAUUCUGCCAAUCCCCCCCGCCUGCAGUCAGUCAUGUCCUUUGUGCCCGUCCCGGCACAGGCUCAGGACAUGGAGGUGCCGGAUGCAGGGAGGAGGUGCCGACGGAAGGAAGGAAAGAGGCGGGAAGGAAGGAAACGGUGCUGGAGCCAGGCCAGUCCAGGGAUGGUGGACAGAUGUGACCAAGACCUUCGCAUGGACAAUUUGAACAGACUGUCAUGAACUGUCCCUGUUGCCACUGGCACCCAAGUCCUCCACCCCUCUCAGUUCCCUCCGGGCGCCUGCCUGUGAGGGCACACGUUGCAUCACAGUAAAUUAUUUGAUGGUCUUGA